CAGAGUCUCCGAACUCCCAAACCUUUGUGAACAUACCACCGUUGCUUCGGCGUCGCGCUGGGUGUCCCCGGGCAUCCAGGCUCGAGCGCGCCGCCGAGGGCGCCAAACUCUUGUUUUAACAUGUAUUCUGAGUACUGCAAGAAUAAAUCA
rnacentral:misc_RNA from 1 species